AUUGAACGCUGGCGGCAGGCUUAACACAUGCAAGUCGAGCGGAGCGGCGGACGGGUGAGUAAUGUCUGGGAAACUGCCUGGUAGUGGGGGAUAACGUCCGGAAACGGGCGCUAAUACCGCAUACUAUCAGAUGAGCCUAGGUCGGAUUAGCUAGUUGGUGGGGUAAAGGCCUACCAAGGCGACGAUCCGUAACUGGUCUGAGAGGAUGAUCAGUCAGACUGGAACUGAGAGACGGUCCAGAGUCCGACGGGAGGCAGCAGUGGGGAAGAUGGGACAAUGGGCGAAAGCCUGAUCCAGCCAUGCCGCGUGUGUGAAGAAGGUCUUCGGAUUGUAAAGCACUUUAAGUUGGGAGGCGUUACCAACAGAAUAAGCACCGGCUAACUUCGUGCCAGCCGCCGCGGUAAUUC
rnacentral:rRNA from 1 species